AUGCUGAUUGAAAAUGUCAGUGAGAGAUUUCCAAACAAGGGCAGUCUCAAUCAUUUCUGUGUCAUGACACCAAGGUCUAUCCUCACUAGCCCUGAACCAAAUUAUGGUGAUGAGGAUAUUAUGAAAGCUCUUGCAAAAGAGAUUCCCAGGUUGUCUGAGGAGCCACUCCAAGCCGAGUGGGACACCUUCAAACAGAGAGUUAGGAGUCCAGAUUUAAAGAUGAAAUCACUAGAGGAGACAUUUCUAUGGCUUGUUUCUGAGGAUGUCAGGGACAUUUACCCAUCCCUGAGUUUAGCUGCAGCUAUAGCCCUAACAGCACCUGUCCAGACUGUGGAUGUAGAGAGGCUAUUCUCAUCCCUGAAUUUGGUGAAAACAGCUUUGAGGAACAGACUGAAGGACCAACAUUUAGACGUAUGCUGCAAGGUGGCUGUGGAUGGGCCCCAUCAGGAUGAAAUCGACUACAGAGAUCUUGUAAAAAGGUUCUACAGUGUUAAUAAAAAGAGACGAGUUAAAUGUUCAUCUGCAGGCUGUGAUAUUUGUAAAUCGAUAAAUUGUGAUACCUUUGACAUUUCAAAUCUACUUUGGUAUCGAUGAUGUUUACAUGUAAAAUAAGUUGUAAUCGCUUUCUUUUACUAUCUAGCCUGACAGUGAUCGUUUUUUAUGAAUAAAUAGGAUAAGAAAAAAAAAUCACAAACUGUUUCUUUGUAUUUAUUUUAAAUUUAACAUUUAUUGUCAAUAUUGGGCUUGCGCAUCAUGUGGGUACUAGGGUACUCUUUGCUGUGUGUGGAUGACCAUGUUGGUCAGCCACCACCGAAGACCAAUUUUGACCCAGGAAAAACCCUGCUUGUGGAGUCAUUUGGUUGCCAUAACAUAACACACACACAAACAGACACACACUUAAUACAAAAAAAAAUAAAGAAGAUUAUCAUCCCAUUUACAACAAAUGAGACCUUAUUGUAAAACAUUACCAAAGUGGGUUACUUGUACCCCUGGUUUCACAGACAAGGCUUAAGACCAGCCCCAGACUAAAAUGUAAUUCUGAACUGUUUCAACUGAAAGAAAAUUGCACUGACUGAUCUUAAAAAAUAUAAGUGACUUUGUUUUGUCUCAGGAUACAAGCCAGUAAUGUUUUUUUUAAGGCAUGUUAAUGAACAUUACUUAAAUGUCCUUAUUGAACUAUGAUCCUGGCUUAGUCUAAGCCCUGUCUGUGAAACCAGGCCAUUAGUUCUCAAACCUUUACUAGCACCAACAUUAAACAGGACCGAAAGGUUUCUUCUAAAAUCUUACUCCAGCAUUAGUGAAUGCAAGUUUGACUAAAUAAAUUAAUUAAUGAAUUAAAAAAAAGACCUCCAAAUGAACUUGCUGGGAAGUGCUGUUUGUCUGUGUCCCAGAAGCUCUCCAUUGGCAGUAAACACUCUGUGUGAACAGAAAUGUACCAAAGAGGCAGGAAAAUCCAAAAAAUUACUUGAGGAAAGAAAGAACAACAAUUGUUAUAAAACAUAUCCAGUCAUUAUAAAUGGUUCAGUUGAGUGAAAGCAAUCGACACAGUUGCAGUCUAAAGUUUAUAUACACCUUGCAGUAUCAGCAAAAUGUUAAUAAUUUAAGCAGUUUAAUGUGUAGAGAGGUAGAAUAAUAAAAAAAACAAUUGCAAUUACUGCCCUGAUGAAGCAGUAUAUUCUGCAAGGUGUGUGUAAACUUUUGACCACAUCUGCAUCACCUAAGAGCUGAAUUAAUGUUACCUCAAUCAUCAGUGCAACAUGGUGGUAGAAUGCUGGGAGAUGUUCCUUCAGAUUUCCCAUAAACAGCAGAUUUCCUGACCACACAAUCUUCACUGACACUGGGCUUAAAAAUAGGUAACAUUUUUACAAACUAUUCAGUAUUGCUACUUUACAAUGCUGGGAGAUGUUCCUUCAGAUUUCCCAUAAACAGCAGAUUUCCUGACCACACAAUCUUCACUGACACUGGGCUUAAAAAUAGGUAACAUUUUUACAAACAUUCAGUAUUGCUACUUUACAGGGAAUAAAACGUAACUCUAUCAAUUACCAAAAAAUAGAUAAAUAUCCAAUUUUUUUAUUUUUAAUAUUAAAUAUCCCAUUUUGUUAUUUUAAUAUUUUAAUAAAAUCAUCUUGCCUUGCAAGCUUCUCUCACACAUCUUCAUGAAGGAUGUUCCUGUAUUUACUACGGCUGGCACAGAAAAGCUACUGUCCUCAUGCUUUGGUUUAUUACCUGUAAUAUAUAUAUGAUGAUUAGAGGGGGGUCUGUAAAUGCACAGGAGGGAAUAUGUUACUUGCAAAUGGAAAAGAUUCAAAGCAGUUCACAUUUCAUUUCAUUUCAUUUUCAUUUUUUUGUCCACAAUGUGGAAAUUUGCCUUCGGUCUCAUAAAAACAACAAUCAAACCAACAACAACAAAAACAACAAGACUAACACACACACAUCUUCAGGGCAAAAUGCAGUACAGCAGUAGCAAUUACGUUACAAUAAAUCAACGGGACGUGUUGUUCAACGUCCGAAUUGCAUUAGGGAUAAAAUAAUUUUUAAAGAUAUUACGAUUUGCCCUAGGUACUCUGUAACGUCUGGCAGAGGGAAGGAGUUCAAACUCCCUAUUGAGUGGAUGAGUGGGAUUGUUUGUUAUUUUAAAAGCUUUUUUCCUGAGAACUUCCUCGUACAUGGAACUUAAUUGUUUCUGAUUUGUCCCUAUGAUUUUUGAAACGAGGUUUACUAUUCUCUGCAGCUUACUUCUCCCUUUUACGUUUAAAUUACCAUACCACAUCACCAUGUUAAAAGUUAGAAUACUCUCUAUCAGAUUCUUAUAGACUAUUUCCAUAUGAAAUAGUCCAUAGGUAUAGUGACUUAACAUAGCACUUUUAGCUUGUCAUGUGUGAUCAGGGUGAGCUGACUGGGCAACAGUUCAUUAAAAACUUCUAACAUCACCUCUUCAGUACUGGUGACUGUAACUUAUCUUCAGUAACAAAACUGUACUGAUCCUGCAAAAUGAAUGAAUACCUCCAGAUAAGUGAAAAAAUAGUAAAAACCUGAUUCCAAAAAAGUUGGGACACUGCACAAAUUGUGAGUAAAAAAGGAAUGGAAUAAUUUACAAAUCUCAUAAACUUAUAUUUUAUUCAUAUAGAAUAUAGAUAACAUAUCAAAUGUUGAAAGUGAGACAUUUUGAAAUGUCAUGCCAAAUAUUGGCUCAUUUUGGAUUUCAUGAGAGCUACACAUUCCAAAAAAGUUGGGACAGGUAGCAAUAAGAGGCCGGAAAAGUUAAAUGUACAUAUAAGGAACAGCUGGAGGACCAAUUUGCAACUUAUUAGGUCAAUUUGCAACAUGAUUGGGUAUAAAAAGAGCCUCUCAGAGUGGCAGUGUCUCUCAGAAGUCAAGAUGGGCAGAGGAUCACCAAUUCCCCCAACGCUGCAGCAAAAAUAAGUGGAGCAUAUCAGAA
rnacentral:lncRNA from 1 species